UGCCGGAUCCGCUAACGGUAGGCGACCGCGCUCUGAACGCGGUAAUCCUGGUUCGAAUCCAGGUCCGGCAG
rnacentral:tRNA from 1 species